CAGAGGCAUAUGUUGUUUAUAGGGUUUUUAAUUUCGUCUUGUAUAUGAAGACCAUAGAAAGUGUAAAAUGAAAAUGUAAGUAAAACGCUCCCAGUAUGUUUUGAUUCACAUGGCCAGCGGCUCCAAACUGCGUCUAAUUAGCUGUCAUUUUCAGUUGGAUUUGGUCUCUUAACAGCACUUGGUUGUACGAGUUGAAUCAUAGAACAGGAGGCAGGUAAGUACAGGGGACAGGUAAGCAUUGUUAUUAUGAUCUGUUUGUAGCUUCCUAAAAAUGAGUGUACUGUCAUGGUCAUUUGACACAAUGAAGAAAAAACAAAUGAGUGUAGGCUGAUAGAAGUCGUAAUUGUGAGUUGGCACCUUGCUUUCAACAAAAGUUCAUCUCAUUGCUCCCUAUUUGUACGACAGCAAUACAUAUCAGUAAAAUAAAAGGAUGUUUAUUAGCCACUUUUAGACGUGGUGGCAUAAUAUCAGUAAAAACUAAAGAAUGCUACUAUUCAUCAGUUUUCCUUUUGCGAAUAUUUGCGUUGCCUUUUUUGGACCAUAACUUUUUGUUCUUUUUCAGAUGCAUAGUGUGCUACUACAAAAUAUUUACUUGAUCCUUGAUUGACAUACUUUUGUGAACUGAGAUCUUGCGCUCUGCUUUUACCAAUCAGCCUGUUUGCUUCUUUUCUUACAUGUACUUUAAUUAUACAUUUCUGGAUUUGGUGCUUUGAUUUGCUGCAGUUUCCUUGAUUUAGUAGAUGCAUGAUGUGCAUCAAUACACUGGACUUCAUGAUCGGUUUUCCAUCUCACAUCAAUAGUUUAGGCCACUAUUUGUUUAUCCAUGCAUUUUAGGUAAACAUUGGUGUAGACUUGGUUGUUUUUUUUUGGUUGUUUGUGGUAUCCAUUUUCCCCUACACUAAGUAAUAGCCCGUGCGUUGCAACUUGCAACGGAGGCAUACAAAAUGUACCACUAAAAUUUUAGUUAGUUUUUUACAUAACAACCAUGAUUUACCUUUAUUGUUAAUGUGAACCUUGAUUUACCAUCUAUUUAUUGUUAAUGUGUCUGCAUACUAACUGAUGCAAUUAGCAAGUGUUAAGUGAUAACCUAAUUCUUGAAUAUCAGUUGUGGGAAAGUGCAGCACAAAUUAAUCCUAAUUAAAUUCUUUCCCCAACCUGCUUGGUCCUACAACAGGCAAACAUUAGGUUGCUAGCAACAAAAUGAUAUGCAAGGAAUAAAUUGCAACCCCACAGAAGAGAAAAAAAGGGCUCUAUACCUUUUAUCCUCCCAAUCUGCAAAACAAAUAGAAUUGAGACAUAUCGUGCCAAUUUAAUUACUAAAGCUCAUGUCCAAUUUUGGAAGCUAAUGGCCAAGUAGUUGGCAAUUUUGUUUCUGAAGAGAAAUGCAUUGAUGCAAUUUUGUCCACUUCGGAUCAUUCCCUCUUAACAAAAUGCCAGUGAUGUUUCUCUUAAUGUAGUAUACUGACCAUUUCAGCAGCAUAAUUUCUCUAAGUGACCAUGCAGUAUUCAGUGACUUUUCUAGGUGACUAAUAUGCAGCAUGCAUGGAUGGCUGGGAGACUGGGCAGAGAGAGUUUGUCAUGAAAACUGUUUUUCGCUUUAACUUUCACUUUGUUGUGUUUCCUCUGUCCAUUCUUUCCUCAGUUAAAACUUCAUUGCCAAAAACCAGAUUACCUCCUUCCAUGAUCUGCACAAAGGCAUAAGAAUACUAAAGUGUCACCAGACUGAGAGAUGCAAAGUACCAAGUGCAUAAAAUCUGUGUCCAAAUCGUUUAGUUAUGACAAUUACAAAUUUAGUUGUUUAAUAUAUACAAUAAGAAAUUCAGUGUUCUACCAAUUACAUCAAAUUAGUAGUCAGUUUAUCCCAUGCAGUGCACAGGAAAAUGUCAAAACAAAGGAGAGGAUGAGGCCGUCUACCUUGUAGAGGAGCAAGCCCGUACUUGCUGCUGCCGGUCUUGGUGCCGCCUUCGCAUAGGUGGAGUUCGUCAAGGUCGAGAUCUGCGAGAUCCCCAGAGUGGCGCAUGUUAUAAGAGCAUCAAAAGAAUUCAGAGGAGGGGCUCUGAAUCGAACAUAGAAGAAUCAAAUCUUUUGCUUGCGGCGCCGGAUCAUGAGCCCCCGGCGCCAAUCGACCGGUGCCCCAUCGGCCUCUCUGGGUCAGUGACGUAGCAGACUGAUGCGAAGGCAGAGCC
rnacentral:lncRNA from 1 species